rnacentral:rRNA from 1 species
UUUACUACACCGUAUUCUGUGAGUUGCGAACGGGUGAGUAACGCGUAGGUAACCUGCCUGGUAGCGGGGGAUAACUAUUGGAAACGAUAGCUAAUACCGCAUAAGAACAUUUACUGCAUGGUAGAUGUUUAAAAGGUGCAAAAGCAUCACUACCAGAUGGACCUGCGUUGUAUUAGCUAGUUGGUGAGGUAACGGCUCACCAAGGCAACGAUACAUAGCCGACCUGAGAGGGUGAUCGGCCACACUGGGACUGAGACACGGCCCAGACUCCUACGGGAGGCAGCAGUAGGGAAUCUUCGGCAAUGGGGGGAACCCUGACCGAGCAACGCCGCGUGAGUGAAGAAGGUUUUCGGAUCGUAAAGCUCUGUUGUUAAGGAAGAACGUGUGUGAGAGUGGAAAGUUCACACAGUGACGGUACUUAACCAGAAAGGGACGGCUAACUACGUGCCAGCAGCCGCGGUAAUACGUAGGUCCCGAGCGUUGUCCGGAUUUAUUGGGCGUAAAGCGAGCGCAGGCGGUUAGAUAAGUCUGAAGUGAAAGGCAGUGGCUCAACCAUUGUAGGCUUUGGAAACUGUUUAACUUGAGUGCAGAAGGGGAGAGUGGAAUUCCAUGUGUAGCGGUGAAAUGCGUAGAUAUAUGGAGGAACACCGGUGGCGAAAGCGGCUCUCUGGUCUGUAACUGACGCUGAGGCUCGAAAGCGUGGGGAGCGAACAGGAUUAGAUANCCUGGUAGUCCACGCCGUAAACGAUGAGUGCUAGGUGUUAGGUCCUUUCCG